rnacentral:rRNA from 1 species
UGGGGAAUAUUGGACAAUGGGCGAAAGCCUGAUCCAGCCAUGCCGCGUGUGUGAAGAAGGUCUUCGGAUUGUAAAGCACUUUAAGUUGGGAGGAAGGGCAUUAACCUAAUACGUUAGUGUUUUGACGUUACCGACAGAAUAAGCACCGGCUAACUCUGUGCCAGCAGCCGCGGUAAUACAGAGGGUGCAAGCGUUAAUCGGAAUUACUGGGCGUAAAGCGCGCGUAGGGGGUAUGUUAAGUUGGAUGUGAAAUCCCCGGGCUCAACCUGGGAACUGCAUUCAAAACUGACUGACUAGAGUAUGGUAGAGGGUGGUGGAAUUUCCUGUGUAGCGGUGAAAUGCGUAGAUAUAGGAAGGAACACCAGUGGCGAAGGCGACCACCUGGACUAAUACUGACACUGAGGUGCGAAAGCGUGGGGAGCAAACA